rnacentral:rRNA from 1 species
AUUGAACGCUGGCGUCAGGCCUAACACAUGCAAGUCGAACGAGUGGCGGACGGGUGAAUAAUCUUUUGGAAACUGCCUGAUGGAGGGGGAUAACUACUGGAAACCUUAGCUAAUACCGCAUACCAUCGGAUGUGCCCAGAUGGGAUUAGCUAGUCGGUGGGGUAACGGCUCCCCUAGGCGACGAUCCCUAGCUGGUCUGAGAGGAUGACCAGACACACUGGAACUGAGACACGGUCCAGACUCCUACGGGAGGCAGCAGUGGGGAAUAUUGCACAAUGGGCGCAAGCCUGAUGAAGCCAUGCCGCGUGUAUGAAGAAGGCCUUCGGGUUGUAAAGUACUGUCAGCGGGGAGGCGUUACCCACAGAAGAAGCACCGGCUAACUCCGUGCAAGCAGCCGCGGUAAUUC